UCACCUCUAGGUUUUCUCAAACACUCUAUUUCUCUCUCCCCUCCGCUCCUUUCUUCCUCUCUAGUCUCUGCUUCGUCAGUCUCUCUCUCUCUCCUCCCUCUCUUCCUCCAAAUCACUCGCCCCUUUCGAAUUGGAAGUCUCUCAUCUUGCCGCAACUUCUUCUUGUCGUUUCGAGUCUCGACAGCAAAGGUUAGUCUCACAGUCUCACUUCUCUGUGAUUAUUUUGAUUGUCCUUUUAUUUUUUAUUAUCCUUGCAUGUGGAUUUGUUUUAGUUUCUGGGUGGAUUUGUUUCAGUUUUUGGGAUGGAGGAUGAGCCCUGCGGUACUAAUUUGUAUCGACGGGAUCCUCGGCGAGGCGGAGAAGAAAUCGACUAUGAUGGAUUUCACAGCUGAGAUGAGGAUCCAAGCUUUUCUCUGACUCUUUCAUGGUUUUGGUUCGAUUUCAAAACUACCCAAAUGAUAAAAAAUUAAAAGACUAUGAUGGAUUUCUGGGUUUUUUUCUUUCUUUCUGGAUUUGGGUUUUUUGUUGAAUAUAAAGGCUUCAACUUCAUGACUACAAAACGAUUUGAGCUUUUUAGAGAGAGAGAGAGAGCGGCUUUUGAUGAUUUCAGCGAGUAAAUGCUGUAAGGAAGAAAUACAGAGAUCCAAAACAAGUUAAUGUCGGGGAGGACCUUUCUUGUUUAUCAAAAUCCGGUUAAACAAGCAGCACCAACAACCUUAGGAGGUGGAACCUGCGCCGGCUCCUCCACUGUCAGCUGAAAAGUCUGAACAGCUAUCUGUUCUGGAGGAAAAGAUAAAGAACUUACUGGAACAAGUGGAGGCCCUAGGUGAAGCUGGAAAGGUCGAUGAAGCUGAAGCACUCAUGAGAAAGGUGGAUAUGCUUAAUUCCGAGAAGACAGCCUUGGCUCAGCAGCCCCAGAAUGAUAAAGUGUUAAUACUGGCACAG